rnacentral:sRNA from 1 species
CGCUUCUCCCCGAAGUCAGUACAACUUCAUCGCAGAUGUGGUGGAGAAGACAGCACCUGCCGUGGUCUAUAUCGAGAUCCUGGACCGGCACCCUUUCUUGGGCCGCGAAGUCCCUAUCUCGAACGGCUCAGGAUUCGUGGUGGCUGCCGAUGGGCUCAUUGUCACCAACGCCCAUGUGGUGGCUGAUCGGCGCAGAGUCCGUGUGAGACUGCUUAGCGGCGACACGUAUGAGGCCGUGGUCACAGCUGUGGAUCCCGUGGCAGACAUCGCAACGCUGAGGAUUCAGACUAAGGAGCCUCUCCCCACGCUGCCUCUGGGACGCUCAGCGGAUGUCCGGCAAGGGGAGUUUGUUGUUGCCAUGGGAAGUCCCUUUGCACUGCAGAACACGAUCACAUCCGGCAUUGUUAGCUCUGCUCAGCGUCCAGCCAGAGACCUGGGACUCCCCCAAACCAAUGUGGAAUACAUUCAGACUGAUGCAGCUAUUGAUGUGCGUCCUGAUAAGAGAGAAAUGACAAAUGAUGGGGGAGGGGGAGAGGCUGUGGUACAAGCACCAGCUGAUAUAUGGUGGAUGAGCCUAUAUAGAGCUUAGGCUGCAAAAAUGUGGCCACUCAUUCAUGGGCUGAGAAAGAAUUUGCAGAAAGUACCUACAUCCUGGUAUGCCCCCAGACUUAGAAUCCCCAGAUCUCUUUCAUGUUUUCUCCUUGUCCUACAGUUUGGAAACUCUGGAGGUCCCCUGG